rnacentral:sRNA from 1 species
CUGAUGAUGAUACCCACAUCCGUACGGUCU